rnacentral:rRNA from 1 species
GACGAACGCUGGCGGCGUGCUUAACACAUGCAAGUCGAACGGAAAGGCCCUGCUUUUGUGGGGUGCUCGAGUGGCGAACGGGUGAGUAACACGUGAGUAACCUGCCCUUGACUUUGGGAUAACUUCAGGAAACUGGGGCUAAUACCGGAUAGGAGCUCCUGCUGCAUGGUGGGGGUUGGAAAGUUUCGGCGGUUGGGGAUGGACUCGCGGCUUAUCAGCUUGUUGGUGGGGUAGUGGCUUACCAAGGCUUUGACGGGUAGCCGGCCUGAGAGGGGGACCGGCCACAUUGGGACUGAGAUACGGCCCAGACUCCUACGGGAGGCAGCAGUGGGGAAUAUUGCACAAUGGGCGGAAGCCUGAUGCAGCAACGCCGUGUGCGGGAUGACGGCCUUCGGGUUGUAAACCGCUUUCGCCUGUGACGAAGCGUGAGUGACGGUAAUGGGUAAAGAAGCACCGGCUAACUACGUG